CUCUUGNNUCCNCNGAAUUCGNNNGAGAUNNCUUAGUGCCUUCGGGAACUGUGAGACAGGUGCUGCAUGGCUGUCGUCAGCUCGUGUUGUGAAAUGUUGGGUUAAGUCCCGCAACGAGCGCAACCCUUAUCCUUUGUUGCCAGCGCGUCAUGGCGGGAACUCAAAGGAGACUGCCGGUGAUAAACCGGAGGAAGGUGGGGAUGACGUCAAGUCAUCAUGGCCCUUACGAGUAGGGCUACACACGUGCUACAAUGGCGUAUACAAAGAGAAGCGAACUCGCGAGAGCCAGCGGACCUCAUAAAGUACGUCGUAGUCCGGAUCGGAGUCUGCAACUCGACUCCGUGAAGUCNGAAUCGCUAGNNNUCNUAGAUCAGAAUGCUACGGUGAAUACNUUCCCGGG
rnacentral:rRNA from 1 species